GUAUUACCGCGGCUGCUGGCACGUAGUUAGCCGGGGCUUCUUAGUCAGGUACCGUCAUUUUCUUCCCUGCUGAUAGAAGUUUACAUACCGAAAUACUUCUUCCUUCACGCGGCGUCGCUGCAUCAGGGUUUCCCCCAUUGUGCAAUAUUCCCCACUGCUGCCUCCCGUAGGAGU
rnacentral:misc_RNA from 1 species